UGGCUCAGGUGGUAGAGAAUCUGCCUGUAAAGCAGAGGACCUGGGUUCGAUCCCUG
rnacentral:tRNA from 1 species